UUCGAACCCAGAACCUUCUUGCUGUGAGGCGAAAGUGCUAACCACUACACCACCGUGCAAUGGCUGUUUUUGUUUUCCUUAAUUAAUUUUUUUUUUUCACUCUGCAUUUGGGUCCUGCUCCUUGACACUCCUAGCUGCAAUCUUUAACAUUUUUCCGUCCAACUCAUCUACACCAGGAGAUGUGUCAUCUGAAAGAAAGAGCAACAUCUCCUCAACAGUGUCUUGGUUGACCUUGUCAAGGAACGAAAGAGGAUAGGAAGAAUAACAGCUGAGAUAUUAACUUCUCUGUCAGAAUGUUGAAAUCACAGAGAAGCUAGCGGGGGGCCAUCUUCUGGAAUGUUAGACAGGAGGAUGUCCAAUUCCUCCAAGAAAUUCCCCAAGAGGGCCUAGUGGGCGGUAGAGAACAAUGAUAUUUAAUUUCACCGGGUGGGUAGCAGAAACAGCGUGAAGUUCGAAGGAUGAAAAAGUUAAGUGCGGAAGUGGGUAAAGAGAGAAUUUCCAUUCAGGAGAAAGUAGCAAAACAGUGCCUCCCCUUCUGCCAGCAGGUCGAGGUGUGUUGGUAAAGAAGAAGGCUGAGCAGAGGGCAGGAGAAGUGUAGGUGUUGCCAGGAGUUAUCCAGGUCUCAGUGAGAGCAAGGAAGUACAGGGACCCCCUGUGACAAGGUGUUGGAUCAGUGGGGAACAGAAGGGUAGAUAAGUAAGGAAAGAUUACGGCACGGUUGGAAAAAGGACUGGCUUUAAACAAAUGCUGACUUUUCUACACAAGUGCUGAUUGCCAAGUUGGCUAAAGGGCCCCAUGCCCCCACAAUUAAUCAGAGAUUCAUACCACCUGAUGGCAGAGCAAUAGAAACUAACGCCAACUGACCAGUGACCACUGAGAAACAACAACCGUUUUCCACCUCAGUCGGUGAAGAUAAAAUAAAAUGGAUCUAAAGCCACAACCAACUUUACUUAGAUUGAGUCAACAAAUUGUUAAACCUUAAACAACAGGCAGAGCACAGUUAAAGCUGUAGUCGGCAGGAUUGAGAGACGUGGGGACAUAGUCUCAGAAUUCAAAAUCCAACGACUCCAGUUCCCUCCCCCUCCCUCUCCGCUGCACUUUGGUUCCUCCACAGCUCCUCCCAGCCUGCCGUGCCCGUGCACGCCACCAUGGCAACCGAAGCCAGGCAAGGAUGACUGGCGCUUUUAUCUAUAUUUUAUAACAUUAGAGCUUUGAGACUGGUACACUGAACUCCGAUGAGGAAGUGAACAUGGAUGCUUCGACGAGCAGUCAAGCGAGAAGAGGGAGUCACCUACGAGACGCAACGGGCAGUGGGAGACGGGGCAGAGGUCGGCGUGUGGCCCGACACCCAAGGACCUGGGAGCUGAAGACACAGAUGAUAUUCAUGUGAUGAGCCAGUUGGUCCUGCAGCGUGAACUGCUUUCAUCCAAAGAUGGUUUAGCUUCAGACUUUGCUAUAUGUAAAUACUGUGCUGUGCGAUAUAUAUUUUUUUCAUUUAAUUUAUUCAACGUUGUAUUUUAAUAUGUAUGCAACCUUAUUAUUUGCUUUGCAAUAAAGUGUAUUUUGAAAGUGA